CAGGUCUCCGGCACAAUCGCGCUGUUCCGCUGGCUCGUAGUAGCAGAGCGAAAAUGGCGUAGAGCGGAGGGUGUGCGGAGAAGGGGACGAGGGGACCUUCUUCUCUCCUCUCCGGCGUGUAGAGGGAGGGAGGGAGGGAGGGAGGGGGAGGCGGGGGAGAGAAGGCCCCCGGAGGUUUUCGGUUUAUUGUUUUUUUAAAUGUGUCGUCACCCGGUGCGGUCCCUCUGCACAGAUAAACCCGGCAUACGUCCACUUCAGGGGACCUAAAUGUGUCACUGUGGAGGAAGAACCCCCCCCGGCUUUUGUUUACCAUUGUGUGCAGCUGCAGCUCAGACCACAGCCGAAAUAUCUCUGCACCAUUUCGGACCAACUCACACCAAGGAAGGGUUUCCCAGUGAAUGCAGUUGGGAAACCAGAUGAAGCCCAGACUGGAGGAACAUUUCCCUUCAGAUCAACCUGAGCACCAUUGAUGGAUCACUCCCACCACCACCCAGACCUGUGGAGGUAAAGAACAAGGAGUCAGUGGGAAGAUGACCUCUUUUGGGGUUUUGGGACUCGGGCGCCCUCCUUCCUGCUGUUGCUGGGACACUGGCCCUCUCUCCUCCACAGCAUCCCCUCUCGGCCUGGCCUGUUUCUGCAGCUUGAUCGUCGGUGAGGACAACAUCCAAGAUUUCGGGCUGGUCUGACUUCCACCACACACAAUCUGACUAUGUCUACAUGUAGCCUGACGCUGGCUGAAAAGCCAUGGAGUUUCUGCACUGGCUGUAUGUGUCUGAAAGUCUCCAUGUUUUGGGCCUUUUCAGUCAGAUUGGGGUUGUAUUCUUUUCAGGCUGCAUGUAAAUGUAGUAGCUAAAAAAAAAUCCCCACUUUCGCUGUAAGAAGAUCAAAGCAGUUUGAUAAUGAACAAACUAAGUGCUCCUGGUUUCUGGGAAGAAAGUAAAGACACAAGAUACUGUAGCAAAGAUCAAGGCUUGUGAUUGAAUUAGACUCGUAGGGUGUGUUUUUGUUUUUUUGUUCUUUUGCACUACCUCAUUGUCAUAACAAGUCCAACAGGAGUGAAAGGGAGUGCGAUCAGUACAAGUAGCUAAAUGGUUGUCAAGCGCCACAGCAGUUUUAUAUAUAUAUAUAUAUAUAUAUAUAGUUCCUGGAUGAAUUUGGUUUUAGUCGUAGAGGAUUAGUUAGUGAGGGUGUCAACAGGUGAAUAGGAGAAGACCAAGCAGCCCACAAGCACAGGAUGCACACCGCCAUUUACUUUCAGUUCAGCCAUUUUGGGAAAAAACACUGUCUCACUCAAACUAUGGUCUCCUGUGCAUCUGUUCUAAAGGAAGGUCACGAGAUCGUAUUUUUACUCCAUGCUCUCAUUUUUAGCAUUUGGGAUUUGUAGUGCUCUCCCUCGUCAAGUCUGCAGGUUUAUUCACAAACUGCAGGUAGAGACAGAAUUGCAGAUAUUUCCCUUGUGACUUAACCCCAAAAAAUUGGCAAUUUAUAGUAUUUAAAGUAGGUCUUUUAUUAUGAAAAUCUAGUCCAGUUUCCCUCCCGUAGAAUACUCUUCAUUAAGGUUUUUGUCUUUUCCCCCUUUAACAUCCUAAUGCGUAUAUUCUUAUUUUAUCCUUUUCUUGCUUUAACACGUUCUCAUUUUGUUGUUUCCCCUUUAACAUUAGCUCUCAUUAGUUCAUGUUUUGAAAUCAUAUUAGUGAUAUAUCAAGAUCAUUUUAACACGAUUGCAGAAGAGACAGAAUUGAAUUUGAUUCCUUUUGUUUCAUGAACCAUGAGACAAAAUCAUCCAGAAAUGAAGAGAAAACACCACGUUUUGUCUCUAAUCUGCUGUUUCGAUGUGUCCAGUAAACUGAGCUGAAAUAGCAGCUUUAAUUCACCAUGUAUUUGUCCUUAUCUGAGGGAAACCCUGGUAUCAUUUUUUCCACCUUUCUUUGUUCAUUUUUACAUGAUUUAUACAAAAAAAAAUCAAAUUUUCCGGGAUUUGUGCAAUAUUUGAUCUUAACUGUCAUGUUGUUGACCAAACUGUAUAUUGUAUAAACAAGUGACAAGUUGUUUGAAAGCAACAAAAUCACCAAUGUCUUCCAUUAAGAUAUGUAUAGACUCGUGCAUUAGCUUAUUUAGCGGGACUGUGGUGCCAACAUUAUAGUAGCCAUGCAUGACCAGUAGUGAUGCUUGCUUCAUGAAGAAUAAUGAAACCGACUUCUAGACUAAGCUGGAGCUCGAAACCGUGGAAUCCAUUUCAGUCAAAUUAAAGGGUGGUAGACUGACGUACUAAACCUUUAACUCCACCACAUCUAGAGACAGCUGUGCCCUCAAAUCUUAGACUAAUGCAAGAUCUCCUCCUUUACUCCACGUCUAGGUCGUGUAAUGAAAACAUUAACUGAAGUGUGACACGAUCAGGAUAUGCAGUUAUAAAGUAUUGAUUUACAUAGGCGUAUAUUCUCAGUAUAAGUUAGUGCUUUCUAACAGACCUGCUGUAGGUUCUUAAGAUUCUUAUCUUUAAAAUAAAAAAAGCUGAAGAGAUAUUCUAAAAUGUGCUCAUGCACUCUCAAGCAUCCAAAGAGUUAGGUAGAGAAGAGACAUCCAAGAGGCUCCCAGGAGACAAGUCUCAAACGUGACAACGAUAGAAACCUUCAGAGAAACGCUAUAUUAUUAAGAGUGUAAUUAAUCCUAGAUUUGGAUCUGAUUGGUAGAGAUCCAACGUGGUGUUUUAGUCCUAGAAUUAAGAUCUCACCAUGACAUUGUAUUGUACAUAAUACCUCAUAGUUUUGGGAUUCAGAGCGUUAUAUUUCAAUCCAUAAAAUUGUAUUUGAUUAGUUUUAGAAGCAAUAACCUACUAUAAUGCAUGAGUUUAGUGCCAGGGUGUACGUGUUAAAAGGACCCCCCCCCCCCUCUCUCUCUUUUAUGCCUAUGGUAGCUGUUCAUCCAUUGGUCACUUUUUUGGGGAGUGGUAUAAUAUUUGGUUUUAAAAUGGUUUUAAAAUACAGUAUCACUUCUGAAGGUUUGGGAAACGUCCUGCAGAACAAGGUGUGAGGACUUCUGUAGCAUAACGGUAUUACACUGACAAAUUUAACUAAAUACUUCUAUUUUUCAGAGACUAUUUUCCCUGCCUCCUGUUCUUUCAGCACAAAAACAAUAAUCUAAACCGAUCAGUACAUGAGAGAUGCUUUACAUUUUAACACUUGUAGCAUUUUACAUCCACUGAACCCUUCCUUUAGAAACAGGCUUUCAGUAACUCUGUGGCUGCAAAGUACUUACUGAACGAACUUGACACUUGUUUGAAAAGCACUUUCUCUCUAUGUACUGACUUGCACCAUCAUCAUCAUCAUCGUCAUCAUCAUCACCACCAUCAUUCUGUCUUGAAUAAUGUGUUCUAAAAACCCUGUAAUGCUCUUUGUGGGGAUUUAUAAUCACAGUUUAUAAGCAAAUAGGCGUCUAGCAACAUGAAUAUAUGGGUUUAAAAAAUAUGCAUGACUUAGCAGAAUAAUGAAUGAUUUGUAUUGCAUGCAAUAAUCCAACUUUGUAAUGUGAAUGGGUGUAAUUAGGAUAUUGAAAUGUUCAUAUCAGAUGUUCUGUGACAAGGUGACAACUUGGGGACGGUUGAUUGACACGACAACAAGCAUGUUGAAGUAGCUUUGAUCAUCAGUUGUGGUUUUUACAGACUAAACAGCACCAAAAGAAGAAGUAGUGGAGAGCAGUUUGAAGUGUUUCUGCUCUCACUGUCUGUUGUGUCAAACAUGGCCCUGGCAGAACUGCCACAGUGCAGCUGAAAAACACUGACCAACCUUUGUUCCGCAUGAAAAAAAAAAAAAAGAAAACACAAAAGCCUAGGUAAGAAGAUUAAUGACAUUACUUUGUUAAUCAACUUUUCCACUGAGGAAGUGGACUGUGUAGAAACUAUGCACUCCAGACGGGGGAAGUGGGCAUGCUUAUUAUGUGUGAGCCUCUUGUCUGGUUUUGUAUUAACUAAAAAAAAAAAUGAAUCUGUAUCAGAAAUUCAGCAAUAAAAUGCAGCAUGGUGCCAAUUGGA